rnacentral:rRNA from 1 species
GGAGGGUGCAAGCGUUAAUCGGAAUAACUGGGCGUAAAGCGCACGCAGGCGGUUAGAUAAGUCAGAUGUGAAAGCCCCGGGCUCAACCUGGGAACUGCAUUUGAAACUGUCGAACUAGAGUCUUGUAGAGGGGGGUAGAAUUCCAGGUGUAGCGGUGAAAUGCGUAGAGAUCUGGAGGAAUACCGGUGGCGAAGGCGGCCCCCUGGACAGAGACUGACGCUCAGGUGCGAAAGCGUGGGGAGCAAAC